rnacentral:misc_RNA from 1 species
UGAGGGAUUGAGGGAAAAAUCAAAAAGCAUACAAGAUUUAUGUAUGUUGCUUGACAAUGAGAAGUCUGAUUUAUUUACUGAGAAAGGAAAUUUAAUUUCUCAGUUGGACGUCACUCAGAAAAGAUUGGAAGAUUUGGAGAAAGUUUACAGAGAUUUAAAAGAGAAAUACUCAGCUUUGGAUAAAGAGAGAGAAUCCACACUUCAUGAAGUAGAAGAAUUACAUGUUCACUUGAAUGCUCAAAAGCAGGAACGUGCUACUCUUGCCCAGUUGAGUGAGUCUCAAUUGGCUGGUAUGGCAACAAGGAUACGUAUGCUACAAGAAGAAGGCCAGUGCAUAAAGAAAGAACAUGAAGAAGAACUGGACAAAGCCUUUUAUGCUCAGACUGAGAUUUUCAUUUUGCAGAAAUGUGUGCAAGAUCUGGAAGAACAUAAAUUUUCCCAUUUCCUUGAGUGUCAAAAAUUCCUGGAGGCGUCUAAACUGUCAGAGAAGCUGAUUUCUGAACUAGAGCUUGAAAAUCUUGAACAACAAGUGGAAAUGAAAUCUUUGUAUGAUAAAAUUGAUGUGCUAAGAGUUGGGCUUUAUCGGGUGCUGAAAACUCUUGAACUUGAUGUGAAACAGGGGUGCGAAGACAAGGCUGAGCAAGAUCAAAUGCUUUUGAGCCAUGCACUUGACAAGCUUCAAGAAACACAAAGAUUUCUCUUUGAGAUGCAAGAUCAAAAUCAACAGUUGGUCGUUGAGAAUACAGUUCUUGUUACUCUGCUUGGGCAACUGCAAAGAGAGGUGGCAAAUCUUAUGACAGCUAAAAGCAGUCUUGAUCAGGAGUUGGCAUGCAGGUCAGAGCAGUUCUUCAUUUUGCAUGGUGAGAGCCAAAAACUUGCAGAGGUUAAUGAAGAAUUGAGAUCGAAGAUAAUAGAGGGAGACCACAAAGAGGAAUCUUUGAAGGUCGAGCUAAAGACUCUGCACGGACAGCUCUUAGAUUUGCAAUCGGAUUACCAGAAUUUACAGAAGGAGAAUUGCAAGAUGGUUGAUGAGCAAAGAUGGCUGAUGAAGUCAAUCACAAACUUGGGAGAAGAGAAAUGUAAUCUAGAAGAUGAGAACUGUGCCAUUUUUGCUGAAACAGUGUCUCUAAGUACCAUUUCUCUGAUUUUCAGGGAUAUAAUCUCUGAAAAAUUUUUGGGAAUGAAGGAGCUUUGUGAAAAUCUGGAUA